rnacentral:misc_RNA from 1 species
UCACUGCUUACGCAGGCAGUUUCUUUAGAGUCCCCGGCCGAACCGCUGGCAACUAAAGAUGAGGGUUGCGCUCGUUGCGGGACUUAACCCAACACCUCACGGCACGAGCUGACGACAGCCAUGCACCACCUGUGCACUGGCCCCGAAGGGCUGCCGUAUUUCUACGGCACUCCAGUGCAUGUCAAGCCCUGGUAAGGUUCUUCGCGUUGCGUC